AAUGACGGCCGCAAGAUUUGCCCCUGCAUUGGCACAUAAGCAGUAAAGCAGCGCGUUGAUUCGACGUGACAUUUAACUUUUGGACGGUAGUGCUCGGUUGGAACGGCUUUUUUGAGCGGUGUACUAUUUAAGCGUUCUGACGAGCAACGCAAAAUGUCGUCGGGCGUCAUAGACAUCCUGGUGGACAUGGGUUUCAGCAUGUCGAAGGCCGAGAAGGCUUUGGAGAUCACCGGCAACAAAGGCGUGGAGCCGGCGAUGGAAUGGUUACUGGCCCAUUCGGAUGAGGCUGAGCCAGCACCCGAACCAUCCGUAGGCGAGAGUGCUCCGACACUGGCCGCUGACACACCAAUGCAGGAUAAUGUUGCUGGUGCUAGCAAUCAGCCGGUAUCCACCACUGACACUGCCAAGUCUAUGAAAUGCGACGUAUGUGGAAAACUCUUCAAAUCUAAUUUAGAAGUCGAGUUUCAUGCAACAAAGUCUGGACACGAUAGAUUUUCCGAGAGCACAGAAGAGAAGAAGCCGCUUACCGAAGAGGAGAAGAGGGAACAGCUGAAAAUGUUGGAAGAGAAACUAAGGCAGAAGAGGAAAGAGAGAGAGGAGCAGGAAAAGAAGGACGCGUUUGAGAGAGAAAAGGACAGGAUACGAUCGGGAAAAGAAAUGUCGGAGGCCAGGAAAAAAUUGGAGGAGUUAGAAAUGAGAAAGCUCUUGGAACAGAGAAAACGCGAGAAGGCAGAGGAGAAAGAAGCACGACAGAGAGUUAAAGCACAAAUUGAAGCAGACAAAGCAGCGAGACGAGCUAAAGCUGCCGAAGCUACGGGCCAAUCGGUUGAUGUUGCUCCAAGCCCGUUGCCCACAACAUCCUCUUCAUCCAUGAUGCACAGGAAGGAUUACACGGAAACCAGGCUUCAGCUUAGGCUUACCAAUGGACAAACCUUGACACAAAGCUUCGGUAGCAAAGAACAAUUGUCCGCAGUGAGAUUGUUUAUCGAAAUGAAUAGGACAGACGGCAACGGUCCUUUCCAGCUAAUGACCACCUUCCCCAAAAAAGUAUUCACGGACGAAGAUUAUGAUACACCAUUGGAUGUGCUGGGUUUGGUACCCUCAGCAGUCGUGAUCGUUCAGAAGAAGGUAGAAUGAUGUAGCCACUGACGUCCUAAUUUUGAAUUGCAAGUAACUUGAUGUUUCACCGUCGGAAAUUGUGCGCGAAAUCUUCUCACGGAAGGGAAUCAUCACUUCAGGUGCAACAUCAAGGAAAAUCCUGUUCUUAUGUGGUGUUUAAUUAGAUAUUGAAAUAGCAGCAACUUAGAUAUUCUGACAUUCCAAGAAACGCCUCUGGAUAUAGCCUGGAGAUUCAAUGUCAGAUCGUCGUACAUGUCGCUAACAUUAUUAAUCGUAGAUGUGCAAUGCAUUCUUUUGCACACAGUGUGCGCACAACAAACUGCGGUUAACCAUGAAACCGGUUUGGAAAACGCAAUGGAAAAGAAGCGAACAUGAAGUAAAACAACUUUUACAUUGCAGGUACGUCGUGGAUCAUGUUACUUUAAAAGUAACAGGUUGUUUCAAACAAUGUGUUCACUGCGAACGUAUGACGAAGAGAUUGAUCGAUUCAUUGCCCUCGAUUGACCGAAAUUGAUGAAUUGAGAUAUAUCAAUAACGAAUCGUAUAUUAACGGCCACCUCUGUGUUUCACAAUUGUGCUACAGCUGUUUACGCAAAAUUUAUUGCGCUCUUUAGAUGAUCAAACAUUUUAUGCAGGAGAUAUUUAUUUGAAAGAAACUGUAUUGUAGUAAUCUGCUUCUCAACUGUAGAAAUCGCUUUUUGUGACGCAAUUAUUCUGUAAAUAUUCUGACGCAAAUCAGUCUAGCAAUAUGUUGUCUGACUUGCUUUUGGUCGGAUAUCCUUCGAAAUUUACAUAAAUUGCAACUAUAAAGAAUCCAGUUCGAGCUCUUUGAUUUUAGAGGUAACAAGAAAAAUAUGCUACGUCGAGUUUUUGCUGUCAGUUGACCUUACAAUCUUUUAAAUGAAAUAGGAACGCGCCUUGAUAUCGUAAUGGUCUUUUAAUGGAUUUAUGCACAAAUGAGACCAAAGUUCAAGAUGCAGAAUGUGAAUCGCUAGAAUAUGAUUUACAAUCAAGGAAAUCUUGGAUGAGAUCAUUUUUAUCAAAGUAUUUUAGAUAAAAGACAAUUAUUGUUUGGACGAGAAAUUGCACAGAAAUCGGUUUAUUAAGAUAAACGUAUAUGUCGAUUUACAGUUACGAUUAAAAGAUUAAGAUUUAAAGUUAUGAUUGUAUAAUAAAACAAGGAUCCACGUGUGUAUAUAUAGACGCAUGCAUUAUUAAAACAACCGAGAAUAAAUUUUCGAAUCAGUUAGUUUGAUCUUCCGCAGCAAUCUACAAUAUUAUAAUAACUCCUUCAGGAUCCUUGAAGAAACCUGAGUCUGGACUACUUCGUCAAGAAUAUUCCAACAGACUGAAGAUAGUACGGCAAGAUAGAAAAUUUACAUCGAGGCUGUGUAUUGUCAGCUUCUUCUAAAAUAAUCCCGAAUUCAGGGAUUUUAACAUAGCAUAAGAGUUUCGUAACGACGAAAUACGAAGAAAGUGAGAUCGUGGCAUAGCGAAGAAAGCGAAACAACAGUUCAAAAACUGAAAGCACAUGCGAGGUCAGGCCGAGAUUAUACCAUAAAAUCUUCCCGCAACGGUGAGUUUACGGAAAUACAUAUCUGUAAUAUAUGCGCAUCGCAUAAUAAUGUCUAAAAUUUAGUUUAAUUAAUGUCGCUUCAAUGUUACAGUUAAAAUACCAAUUUUUUCAAAACAGAUGAAUAGAGAAAUCAUGCAAACAUCUUUAAAGCAUUAUUUUUAUAUUUAUCGAAUUUAUCUAUUAUCGGAUUGUUUUUCUACGUCGCAUUUGUUCAUUGACAUAUGAGCGACAGACGCGGAUUUCUCGCAGAAAAUGUUUGCUACUGAACGCCGCGGUUAAUAAUUCGACAUAAAUCUUAACGAAAUACAAAUGCGAAUCUUAUGCAAAUGCAAACUAAACAGGCUGAUCUUGAAGGUAUCUCUGAUCAUUUGAAUUUGAGUUUCUCACGUAAAAUAUGCGGCUACAUGUAGCAGUUCCGUUGUGUAAUAAACGAUAAACGAAUGUCAUGUUCCUUAGUCUCGUGACAUUAUUAUCAAUGGCACGAAAUUAAUGCUGAAGAAAAAUAACAGGAAAACUAGAUACCUACACUCGAAAGUCAAGAUAUACGCUAUCAGUAAAUAAGUAAACUUUUAUCUGCUACUGCUCACCUGGGUUAUUCGUUAUCAAUGCAUACAUACAUCAGUUACAAGUUUAUAUUAUGAUGUCAAAUAAUAAAUAUGUACCAGUUUAAUUUUUUACUAUUUAAUAAAUUAAUGUGCAUUUAUAUUUGAUGAGAAUGUUAAUGCACACAUGAAGAAA
rnacentral:misc_RNA from 1 species